rnacentral:rRNA from 1 species
UACGAAGGGAGCGAGCGUUGUUCGGAAUUACUGGGCGUAAAGCGCGCGUAGGCGGACCUGCAAGUCGGGGGUGAAAGCCCGAGGCUCAACCUCGGAACUGCCUUCGAUACUGCGGGUCUCGAGUCCGGGAGAGGUGAGUGGAAUUCCUAGUGUAGAGGUGAAAUUCGUAGAUAUUAGGAAGAACACCAGUGGCGAAGGCGGCUCACUGGCCCGGUACUGACGCUGAGGCGCGAAAGCGUGGGGAGCAAACAGG